GCAAAUCUCUUAAAGCCAGCUCAGUUCGGAUUGUAGGCUGCAACUCGCCUACAUGAAGUCGGAAUCGCUAGUAAUCGCGGAUCAGCACGCCGCGGUGAAUACGUUCCCGGGCCUUGUACACACCGCCCGUCACACCACGAGAGUUUGUAACACCCGAAGUCGGUGAGGUAACCUAUUAGGAGCCAGCCGCCUAAGGUGGGAUAGAUGAUUGGGGUGAAGUCGUAACAAGGUAGC
rnacentral:rRNA from 1 species